CAGUAACGGCGAGUGAAGCGGCAACAGCUCAAAUUUGAAAUCUGGCUCCUUCGGGGUCCGAGUUGUAAUUUGUAGAGAGUGCUUCGGGCGAGACCUCGGUCUAAGUCCAUUGGAACAUGGUGUCAUAGAGGGUGAGAAUCCCGUAUGCGACCGUGGCUCGAGCCCAUGUGAAGCCUCUUCGACGAGUCGAGUUGUUUGGGAAUGCAGCUCAAAACGGGUGGUAAAUUUCAUCUAAAGCUAAAUACUGGCUGGAGACCGAUAGCGCACAAGUAGAGUGAUCGAAAGAUGAAAAGCACUUUGGAAAGAGAGUCAAACAGUACGUGAAAUUGUUGAAAGGGAAGCGCUUGCAACCAGACCUGCCCGUAGGCGAUCAGCCGCUGUUCUCAGCGGUGCACUCGCUCUGCGAUCAGGCCAGCAUCGGUUUCGGCGGUCGGAUAAAGGCCUUGGGAAUGUAGCUUCCCUUCGGGGGAGUCUUAUAGCCCUCGGUGUAAUGCGGCCAGCCGGGACCGAGGACCGCGCUUCGGCUAGGAUGCUGGCGUAAUGGUUGUAAGCGACCCGUCUUGAAACACGGACCAAGGAGUCUAACAUCUAUGCGAGUGUUUGGGUGUCAAACCCAUACGCGGAAUGAAAGUGAACGGAGGUGAGAACCCUUAAGGGCGCAUCAUCGACCGAUCCAGAUGUCUUCGGAUGGAUUUGAGUAUGAGCAUAGCUGUUGGGACCCGAAAGAUGGUGAACUAUGCCUGAAUAGGGUGAAGCCAGAGGAAACUCUGGUGGAGGCUCGCAGCGGUUCUGACGUGCAAAUCGAUCGUCAAAUUUGGGUAUAGGGGCGAAAGACUAAUC
rnacentral:rRNA from 1 species